AAAGUGGCUUAUGCAACAGCUAUGGAUUGGUUUAUUGCCGUGUGCUAUGCCUUU
rfam:Pan troglodytes isolate Yerkes chimp pedigree #C0471 (Clint) chromosome 5, whole genome shotgun sequence.